AUCCGGCUGAAGAGUCCCAAAACAGGACGAAACGCGCGUCCUGGAU
rnacentral:hammerhead_ribozyme from 1 species